rnacentral:rRNA from 1 species
CUGGGCUUGACAUGUUCCCGACGACGGCGGAGACGUCGUUUCCCUUCGGGGCGGGUUCACAGGUGGUGCAUGGUCGUCGUCAGCUCGUGUCGUGAGAUGUUGGGUCAAGUCCCGCAACGAGCGCAACCCUCGCCCCGUGUUGCCAGCGCGUCAUGGCGGGAACUCACGGGGGACCGCCGGGGUUAACCCGGAGGAAGGUGGGGAUGACGUCAGAUCAUCAUGCCCCUUACGUCCAGGGCUUCACGCAUGCUACAAUGGCCGGUACAGCGGGAUGCGACAUGGUGACAUGGAGCGGAUCCCUGAAAACCGGUCUCAGUUCGGAUCGGAGCCUGCAACCCGGCUCCGUGAAGGCGGAGUCGCUAGUAAUCGCGGAUCAGCAACGCCGCGGCGAAUGCGUUCCC